rnacentral:rRNA from 1 species
AUUGAACGCUGGCGGCAUGCCUAACACAUGCAAGUCGAACGGUAACAGGCCUUCGGGCGCUGACGAGUGGCGGACGGGUGAGUAACGCGUGGGAAUCUGCCUAGUAGUGGGGGGACAACCUGGGGGAAACUCAGGCUAAUACCGCAUACGCCCUACGGGGGAAAGCAGGGGAUCUUCGGACCUUGCGCUAUUAGAUGAGCCUGCGUCGGAUUAGCUUGUUGGUGGGGUAAAGGCCUACCAAGGCGACGAUCCGUAGCUGGUUUGAGAGGACGAUCAGCCACACUGGGACUGAGACACCGGCCCAGACUCCGUACGGGAGGCAGCAGGUGGGGAAUUAGUUGGACAAGUGGGGGCAACCCUGAUCCAGCAAUGCCGCGUGUGUGAAGAAGGCCUGCGGGUUGUAAAGCACUUUCGGAUGGGAAAGAAAAGCUCAAGGCUAAUAUCCUUGAGUCUUGACGUUACUAUCAGAAGAAGCACCGGCUAACUCUGUG